AAAAGAGAAAGGACAUGUAAAUAUUAUCUUCAAUAUAUACUCAAGAACAGUACUGAUCAGAAAGCAUACGUCUUGGUCUUUGGAGAAUCAGCGAUCUUCAAUGUCUCUUCAACGAGCUUCCUGGCCUUCCUGCUUCUUAUUUCAACUCUCAUGCUCUCACUCUUCUCAAUCUUAUCAUAAGGUUUCUUCAUCUUCAAACUUCUUAUUUUCGAUUUCAAGUUCAUCACCAAGCUCCCCAGUCCCAUCGUCAUCAUGGCCAGCCACUACCUUAAAGCACCUGUUAGCCACAAAAAAACAA